AUUGAACGCUGGCGGCAUGCCUUAUACAUGCAAGUCGAACGGCAGCACGGGUGCUUGCACCUGGUGGCGAGUGGCGAACGGGGGAGUAAUACAUCGGAACGUACCUUAUCGUGGGGGAUAACGCAGCGAAAGCUGUGCUAAUACCGCAUACGCCCUGAGGGGGAAAGCGGGGGAUCGCAAGACCUCGCGCGAUUAGAGCGGCCGAUGCCUGAUUAGCUUGUUGGUGGGGUAAAAGCCCACCAAGGCGACGAUCAGUAGCUGGUCUGAGAGGACGAUCAGCCACACUGGGACUGAGACACGGCCCAGACUCCUACGGGAGGCAGCAGUGGGGAAUUUUGGACAAUGGGGGCAACCCUGAUCCAGCAAUGCCGCGUGGGUGAAGAAGGCCUUCGGGUUGUAAAGCUCUUUUGUCAGGGAAGAAACACCGGCUCUAACACAGUCUGGGAAUGACGGUACCUGAAGAAUAAGCACCGGCUAACUACGUGCCAGCCGCCGCCGUAA
rnacentral:rRNA from 1 species